rfam:Enterococcus faecium DO plasmid 3, complete sequence.
UAAUGAACAUGAAAAAGAGGAGUUGCGCUAACAACCCCUCAUUAACAGCACCGAUUAAAGAACGGUGGCAGAAUAUUAGUUAUUUGGAA